AAAAGUUUAUUUAAAAAUUAUUUUUUUACUUCAUACAGAAACCUUUCCAGAUAAAUGUGGGGGGUGGGUGAAUUUUUUCUUAUCUAAAACGGACUUCUAUUUACCAUUCGUAACUUUUGAGGGACAGAAUGCGUGAUAGCUCAAUUUUAGGCUCCCAUGAUACCCCCCUAAUUUACAGGAUAAGGCUGCAAGAUCAUUAAUUACGUGUUUAUUUCCUCAUUACUAUGAAGAAGUUUAAUGAUUAUUUUUUGUUUCUCACAGUCCUUUUACGUAAACAAGCUAUACUAAUCAUCUAGUCAUUUCAUAAUUAUGAGCGAGCAACAAGCAAAAGGGCAGAACAUCUCAUAUCUCCUAUAUGCUAGGGUUAUGUGAUGAAGAUUACAGACAUUUCUAGGAGCCUAGUUUAUAAGUUGGCCAAUAUAGUUUUUAAAAAAUCGACCAAAAUACCUUUCCAGGAUGACAAAGUAGAGGACAUUAUUUAAAGAUGGAUACGAAGGAUCCCACUAAUUCGAUGAAUCGCCUUGCCAGCAACAUCUCUGUGGUUCCUAAGGUCAUCAAGAGGGAUAUAAUGCACAAAUUGGGAUUAGUUUAUUUCACAAGGGCCAAACACCACCUUUUGACAGAGGGUAUGAAAGCAAGAAGGUUCGAGAGAUGCAAGAAAAUCCUCAUAUGGAUCAAGGCAAAAAGUCACUGAUGGAAAGAAAAUGCCUCCGUUCUUUAACAAGGCUGGAAAGAAAAUCGUUCAGGAGGCCUACUAUAAGUACACAAUCUUGUCAUCGCUGUAAUUACGUAGGACUCAGGACGGCUUCCUCUCACACGUCUGCCAAGUGGCAAAAAUUCUGAACAGAUAACAUGGUUGGAUUCCUUCAAAGGAUAUAUGGCCUCCUUACUCACCAGAUUUGAACCCGCUGGACUUUUCUAUAAGAGAUACUUUGGAUAGAGAACCAACAGGGCCUCACAACCAAAUGUAGACUCACAGAAGUGAUUCAUAGUGGCUGCAUGGGACAACUUUUUAGAGCAUAUUCUCAUCUCCUGCAUGGCGUUCAUGCAACGUGUAAAGACAGUGAUUGAUAAUGAUAGUGGGUUUAUUGAGUGAAAAAAAUAUUGUCUAUAUGCUUUGUUAACAUUAUGUUUUUACAUAUUAAUGAAAAUAUAAAAUAAUACGCGUAUUUCUAAAUCCAUCUCUCGAGUCCACGUUUUGCUGCCCUACCCUGUAGAUGAUAUCUUCUUGAAUCAAUCCAUUUUUUGGUUAUUUUAAUGCAAAAUAUUGUUAUCGUUGCAAAUAAUCAAAUUUGAAAAUAUGGUACAUACGGAUUUAUGGUUAAUAUUCAUUUAAUUUCAAAUUGAUUUUGAUAAUUUAUUGUAUCAAGUUCAACUUUUAAUUUCCACUAACUACCUGGUAUUUACGAUGUUACCGAACAAGCUGCAAUUAUUAUAAUAAUAAGCUUCAUUCGAACAAUUUCUAGCUAGCUUACUUAAUUUUAGAUUAAAAAAUAUCAUUUCUUUCCGAAGAUUUAAAGUUGGCAACUCAGUCCUCUAACCAGGGGUUCCCACAGGAGACUCACAGAUGCCAGGUCACGAAAUGCAUUCCAAAAAAAAAAAAAAAAAAAUAACCAAUUAUUUAUUUAUUUUAUAUAAAAAUAUAUAUUUUUAUUUAUUUUGUAUAAUAUAUACAUAUGAAUUGAUAUUAUAAUAAAACCAUAAACCACAAGGUAGCUCGUCAAAACUAUUUUGAAAACAACUUAAAAAUUAUUGGCAGUCGCAAUUGGAAAUCUCAAGUGGAAUUGCUCUCCGCCGCCCUUAUAUAAGCUGCAGGAGGUGUGGCUUUUUCUGAUGGAGCAAGAUCCCACCUCGCUGACCAUCUCAAUAAUACACAUGAAAGCAGUUGGGACUGGAGGUGGACACAUAAACUUGGUACAAACCACCCGUAACUUAUCCUCUGUUCAAGAAGCUGUAGCGCUGAUUUCUGAGCAGCUUUAACUAGAGAGACUCUGUGUUUUGACUGUUUCAACCACUAAGCAACAGUCAGGCAUUUAUGAACUCUGAUCUGUAGGUCAAGUGAGUGGAGCCCCUUGGCCUAUGUUCGUGAGCUGUCUGGGAGAACGGAAACGCACACGCGUGGCUAUGAGCAACAUUUUUAACCACCUCCAGUGUCGUUGGCGGUAGUAGGCUGAAAAUUAUUGGAACCCCUGCUCAAUUCAGAUAAGAUAUCUAACCUCAUUUCCAUAAAUAAUUUUAAAAAAUGUGAUCUCUGCUAAGGUUAAUAGAAAUACAAGGUUAGACCACCAUGUAAUCGGGCUUGCUAGAAUUUUCAGUUUGAUGUUUCGUACAAACUGCUGGGCAAGAUAUGCAUAUUUUGAGAAAACAGGCAACCACUUAAAGUCUAUGACGUAAUUAUUGCUUAAAAUUUUAAUUUAACAAUAGAUCGUAGCAUUUCCCCUAUGUCACAAAGAUGCUGGAUAGUCACACAAGUGCAUCCAGUGCUGUAAAUGUGCCAAGGUAUUGUGACCUCUUAUCAAGGCUUGGCCAGGAGUUUGCUGACAGACUCAGUGACUUUAAGAAGCUUUAAUGGAUAUGGACAUAAGUAAGAUUUUAGGACAGAUAAAUGAAUUUAUCUUUGUUGAUACUGUUGAAAUGGAAAUUGAGAUUAUAAAGGUUUAAAAUGAUGUGUUGUUGAAGUUUCAGCAGUAUUCACUUUUUCUGGGGCUUAGUAGAGCCAGACAACUAUGAAAAUCUUCACAGACAGCCCUGAAAAUGUCUGUUUUGCUAGGGUCUACAUACGUCUGUGAGCCAGCUCCUAAAUCAAAGCUCAAAACAAGACUGAUACAAGUAUAUAAUAUUUAAAUGACUCCAUAAGAGUAAACUUAAGUGGAUACACUCCAGUAUACACCUCUCUUGUGCUGACUCCUUGCAGUCAUCUCACUAGAUAAAAAACUGAAACUAAACACACGCACUCAGACACACACAGCUUCAUAAAACAGAACUGAGCUAUUUUUUUUAAUUAUUAAAAAUACAAUUAUUUUAUUUAUGUAGAUUUCCCCAUUGAGAAUAUACUGAUAUAUUGAUUAUUUGAAAGGUUGUGUUGAGUAAAGUUUUUAUUUUUGAAAUAUAAAUUGUAAUUGAUCAAUGAUAGCAUUUCAUUUUCAGAUGUGUUGGUGCAUGUAAAUAGUUUUGUGAAGCGUGAGCUGUGACAUGGACAUAUAUGACAUUGACAAGUGAAUAAGUAACAAUAUAAAAAAUGUGAGAUGUGUAUAUUAACAUAUUGUAAAGGCGCAGGAACAGAAUGCUUAUUGAUUUUGUUCGUUCGAAAUCAGCGAUAAGAACAAAUGUCACAAAACAUGAAUAUCUAGGGCCAUUUCAAUUUUGUUAAAAUAGUUCUCGGAGGAAAAAAGGUUCGACUAAAACACCCAUUAUUUACAGUAAAAACCGAAGUAUUAUUCCUUUAAAAAACAACAACAACCAUAAAGUGUGAUUUAUUUACCUUUUCAUUGAUCGUAUAUAAACUAUAAGCACAUAUUUGAAUUUAACAUAAAAUUGUGAAAAGAGUAAACUAAAUUUUUACACGGAUUACGCAUUUUUUUCUUACUCAAAAGUUUUACUCAAACCUAUAAGCCGGUUAAAAAUUUGAAUAGGAAAUACAUUGAAUAUUGAAAAACUAAUUAAAUAUUCCUAAUCAACGUGUCAAGUAUUAUUAGAAUUGAAAAGUCUUUUUGAUUACAUGUGCUAUUGGUUAGAUGGAUUUGUACCGAUUAACAAUAAGUAAACAUUAUAGUACAGGCAGGUCCAAUAAUUUAGAAAAUCUUUAAAGGCUUGUAACGAACGUAGUAGAUGACAUUUUUUUUAAUUAUUGGAAAGCUACACUUAAUUACAUUCAAUUAUUUAUACUGAGAGCCACCUCUCUUGAUAACCUCGGCCACACAGCGCUGGAAGCUUUGGUAGGCACGGACAACUUCUUUCAGAUUUACAUUCCCUGGAUGGAUGGAGUAGCCCAGGGAAGAAGUUACACCUUCCAACAAGACAGUGCAUCACCCACAACACCAAAAGUGAAUGAUGUCUUGUCCCCAAAAUGUCCUCACUGUUAGAGCCCAAAUUUAUGGCCUGCAAACAUCCCGGAACUGAAUAUAUGCGAUUUCUAUCUCUGGGGGAGGGUCGAGGAUAAGGCCUGCGCUAAUUAUCAUUCCAAUGUGGAGGUCCUGAAGAAGUCCAUUACCCGUACAAUUGCAAAUAUAGAUUCGCACGAGGUUGUUCAGGACUGCCAAAGCUUCCGGAGCCGUGUGGCCGUGGUUAUCCAUAUCUCAUUAGAUUUUUGCCUUUCAUUUUGGAACGCCCUGCAAUAUUACAAAUACUCCCAUCAGACCAAGGAAUCGUAUUUGUAUCGUAUAAUCAUAUACAUAAUUUAUAUUUUAUUUCUCUAGGAGCGACCGUGAAGCUAGCCUACGCAGAUUGAGUUUAAAAGAAUAAUUUCACCGAGUGCAUUGUCGACUGAGUUACGUCGCUUCCUAAUUUUUUUUACCACUAGAAAUUCUGCUGGAGAGUUAUGGAGUUGAUUAAUAUGUGAAUAGCAUAACAUCAUUCCUUAUAUAAAUUAUUAGAUGAUAUAUCUGUUAAAUAAUAAAUUUAUAUAUUUUUUUAAAAUAAAAUAUUGGUACAUAUCGUGUCAUAAA
rnacentral:lncRNA from 1 species